rnacentral:rRNA from 1 species
UACGAAGGGGGCUAGCGUUGCUCGGAAUGACUGGGCGUAAAGGGCGCGUAGGCGGCUUGCACCGUCAGAUGUGAAAUUCCUGGGCUUAACAUGGGGGCUGCAUUUGAUACGUGUGGGCUUGAGUGCGGAAGAGGGUCGUGGAAUUCCCAGUGUAGAGGUGAAAUUCGUAGAUAUUGGGAAGAACACCGGUGGCGAAGGCGGCAUCCUGGACCGACAUUGACGCUGAGGAGCGAAAGCUAGGGGAGCAAACGGG